rnacentral:rRNA from 1 species
GACGAACGCUGGCGGCGUGCUUAACACAUGCAAGUCGAACGGAAAGGCCCCCUUGUGGGGUACUCGAGUGGCGAACGGGUGAGUAACACGUGAGUAACCUACCCUUGACUUUGGGAUAACUUCAGGUAACUGGGGCUAAUACCGGAUAGGAGCUCCUGCUGCAUGGUGGGGGUUGGAAAGUUUCGGCGGUUGGGGAUGGACUCGCGGCUUAUCAGCUUGUUGGUGGGGUAGUGGCUCACCAAGGCUUUGACGGGUAGCCGGCCUGAGAGGGUGACCGGCCACAUUGGGACUGAGAUACGGCCCAGACUCCUACGGGAGGCAGCAGUGGGGAAUAUUGCACAAUGGGCGGAAGCCUGAUGCAGCAACGCCGCGUGCGGGAUGACGGCCUUCGGGUUGUAAACCGCUUUCGCCUGUGACGAAGCGUGAGUGACGGUAAUGGGUAAAGAAGCACCGGCUAACUACGUG